GUCAGCCGAGCAGCACAGCCUAGCCACACACUUCCUUAGGCCGAUCGGAGUUCAUCUCGACUUCGAUUUGACAAAUCAAAGUCUGUCCAAGACAUCCUUGAAGUAGUCUUUUCCUUCUGUGACGAUUAUGUUUGAGUUUGGUGACCUAAAUCAGAGUGUACGAGUCGAGAGGAGCCUAUACUCAGUGGUGACACGCUCGUGUGGACGAGUUAGAGGCCGGACACUUGGAUGGUUGUUUUGAUCGAUCGAUACGACUUGAAUCGACGAGGUUGAAGAUAUUAGUUUGUCCAAGGAAAAUCAUGUGCGACUCAAAGAUUAUCUCAGGACCAACGAAGAUCCUAGGAUCGAUUUCGAAGUCAGGGUACUUUGUGCUGGGCUGUGGCAAUGAAUACAGAUGGUUAGCUGUAUGGAGUCAUUCUGUGGAUUUUAUGGAGAGGAAUGGCCACAUAAGAGGCUGAGAUGGUUGCACUCCUUGGGGAGCUGCAAGGCUACCGCUUAUUUCAAGUCCGCAACUGUCGAGAUGCUAGUAACCACGAGCUAGGUUUAUGAAACUCGUCAUUGUGUUGUUGGCUCAUCUCGUGAGCUAAAACUGUUUUUGUUUUAUUUGUUUGUAGGUGGUUGUUCUCAUGCUAUUUAACUCGUCUGAUACACUAACAUAUUCAUAUAUAAAAUCACAAUUAAAUCUGUGUGAUAAUUAGAUCGUUAGACUUCUACACUCGUUAUCGUCUGGAGACUAUAAGGUUCUUGUGAAGAUUCCAGAGUCAAAUUCCAUUUCCUACAAUGACAACUUCUUAUUCAAUGGAAAUUUCACUCCCACUGCGAGGAGAAUCAAGGUAUGCUUUGCACAAAGAGUGACAAGGAAGGUCCUAGUUCUUUCGUCACUGUUUAUCGUUGAUUAGGCUGGAAUCUCAUCAGAAGAUAAAAACUUGCAUCGCCAGAUUCAUCUACCUUCUUGUGUGGACGAGAAUCUAAAUGAGGAAAAAAAAAGUCACUGAGGAGAUUUCUAAGGACCGAACAAUGGCUAUCGGCGCCAUGAUCGUGCGACUCAUGAAGAGUUGCAAGGUGUUGACUUAUGAGCGAAUAGUCAGUGACUACUCUGAGUACUUGGGACGCAUGUGCGAGCGAGAUGUCGGAGCCAUACAUAGAAGAAUAGAAAGCUUGAUGGAUCGAGAGUACCUCGAGAGAGAUGCCCAUGACCCAGAACUAGUCAAGUACGUGGCAUAAGAUUGGGACAGCGCUGAGGAUUGAUCUGCAUCACCAACUCCAACUGAUUUUGACUAGAGAGCGUAUCUUGACAAAACUACUAUUUACGAAGAUCGCUGUUUUCUACCAGCGAUGUGAAGACUUAUCUAACUACAUCAGUCUUCUAGCUGCUUUUGUAUAUCUUUUGUCAUAUGGGUUUUGUUACAAGUACUCUGAAUUUGCCACUUAUCCGAUUACUGAGAUGCUAUUGGGUGGGGCGGGAAUGUUUGAAGGACUUGAAACUUUAGCUAGUAAGUCCAAAUUUGCUUUGUACAUAAUAGUUGUAAUUGUUCAUUUUGCUCUCAUGCA